rnacentral:rRNA from 1 species
UACGGAGGGAGCUAGCGUUGUUCGGAAUUACUGGGCGUAAAGCGCGCGUAGGCGGCUUUGUAAGUUAGAGGUGAAAGCCUGGAGCUCAACUUCAGAAUUGCCUUUAAGACUGCAUCGCUUGAAUCCGGGAGAGGUGAGUGGAAUUCCGAGUGUAGAGGUGAAAUUCGUAGAUAUUCGGAAGAACACCAGUGGCGAAGGCGACUCACUGGACACAUAUUGACGCUGAGGUGCGAAAGCGUGGGGAGCAAACAGG